CGCGGGGCCGCGGGGACCGGGGCCGGCUCUCCCGGCGGCGGCGUCGGGGGCGGGACGGGGAGGGGAUGCGGAAGGUUCUGCAGCUGCGGCGGCGGCAGGCGCGGCCGUUCGGUGGAGCCGCCGGCUCGGCUCUGAUGGAGGCGGCGCCGAAUUCGGCUGCGCGUGAGAGCCGCGCCGCGGAAGGGGGGGCCGGAGAAGCGAGGGGGCGGGAGGGAGGAGCGGCGCGGCGGGGGUGACGGGGCGCGGGCGCGGGGUGGGCUGGGGGCGCGGAUCAGUGGGACGGAGUUCGGGGUUCGGCUCCGAGCGGGCGGGCUGGAAGUGGGGGAUCCCUCAGCCGCCUCCACGGGCCGGCCCCGCGCUCACGUCGGUUCCGGGGCGGAUGACCCCUCUCCAAACGGCGCAGCGCUGCGGCUCUCGUGAGCUGGGAAGUAGGGGGCAGGGGAGAGGCCGCGGGUCCAGAAACCGUUACUGGAUGGGCCGGUGGGAUGUGGCGCGGGCCGGGUGGGGCGCGACAGUCUGAGCCGAGACCCGCGUGGGCUUAAGGGUGCGCGAGGCGGGUGCCCUGGGCGCGCCCGAACUGGCUGAGCAGUGGAGCGGGAAAGGGCGCGGGACCCGGGACUGUAACCGCCACUUCCAGGCCCUCGCUCCCCGCGCUUGGAGCCCUCAAGGGCACUCUCAGGGAUCCUCGAGAGCCUUAAAACAGAAGUCUCUGGAACCUGUGUCCUCUCCCUGUCUGUCCCGCCCUCGAAUCCCUGUGUCCUCCUCACCCGCUCCCUCCUGCAGUGAGCAUCCCGGGUUGUUGGUAAAGAUCUUGGUGCCUGGGAGGUCGGAGCUUCGUCUCCUGAAAUGGUUUAUACUAGUGAACCCUGGCGCCACGUUCUGUGGCUUAUAAUCACUUUCGUCGUUGCCGCAUGAGGAAGCAAAUGACACCGCCCCUUACCCUGGAAAAGUGGCUGCAGCCUUCCCCGGAUCUUAGUUUUACUCACCCCGAAGUCAAUUUCUCGUCGUCUCUGCCUUGAACCUUGGAAACAAGUGCUUUCAACAUAAGCGAUGUGAAGGCAUUAAAACAUGUUGAAUGGCUGUGUGCACAGGAUAUCCUACACCUGCCUGACAUCUGGAAUGCAGGUGAAGCAACCUGACCUGAUGGAGCCACCCACACUUUAGAAGAAUCUCAAAUACAGCCAACCCUGAUCUUCCUCAGCUGAAAAUCAUCCAUCUACCAAACUCACAAAUUAAACAUAACGUAAAUAUUAUUACGUUAUGCCUUGUGUUGUGGUGUUAGGCAUGCACAGAUCUGGGUUUAUCCCCUUGUGCUAGACAGUAAGUCACUUGGUUUGAGUCUGUCUGUUUCAGUGACCCUUUUCUCUAAAGCAUUUAGUUAACAUGAUGGCUGACAUCAGCGAGAACUCAGUAAAUGUGGAUUAAAUGAGAAAAUUCAAAAGAAUGAUUACUUACCUUUUUAAAGUUAUCAAUGAAUUCUAUACAAAUAACAACUUAAAGGUCACUAUGUUUCCAGGAAGUUUGGGUGGAGAGCAGAGGAUUGGUUUUCUAGACAGAGAACUUGUUAGACUGAAACAAAUCUUUCUGUGGAAAGUGUUGGGUUGCUGGCCUGAAUCCUGGCUGCUAUAGGGUCCCUGCCUCUUUCUUGGGCCCCUGACCUUAGAAGAAUCUUCCUUCAGAUAAGAAGAGGAGGCAGCUCCAAGUUUACGGCAAACCACCAGCCUCACACACCACUCCCAACCCACCCUUUUUCCAGACUUUAAAACAUCCCAGAAAAGGAUCAUGGUUGCUCCAGCCUGGACCAUGAGCUGCUGAGCAGUCGCUGAAAAUCCCUUCAACAAAAUGACAUAGCUGAUGUGAGUAAAUAGUAAUUCCUUGAAGGAAGAGAAAUUCUAUUUCCAGGGGAAUGACUGCUUGACAGAUAAAAAGAGACACAAGUAUCCCCACAUCUUGGAAUUUGACCUCUAGCCGCCACAAUUGACUAUAUUUGUCAUCACCUUCUUCUUGUCCAGCUGAACUCCUAAACCUGCCACCCCACCCCUAGCUAAGCUAAUAACAUGAAACUGUGCCCCAAAAGAUAGUGAAUAUUUACUGAAAUGCAAAACCAAGAGUUAUAAACUAUAGCCACAGACAAGACUUCUUAAAUGCAGGAAGUUUUGAAUAAGUGGGCACAAGUUAAUACAAUCAAAGAAAAACAAUAUUUGAUAUUUUGGACAUGAGCCCAAUGUGCUGGCGUAUAUGUGUGUGUGAGUGGGCAGGUGGAUGGGGGAAAUCUCACUAAUGAUGGGUGUCAUCAGGAAAGAAAAUCCAAAAACAAAACUACCAUUCAUUUGUACAAUUAACAAUUAGAAAGUGACAAAUGUUUAAUAAUACACUUGGAGUGAUACAUGGUUGUACCUGACCUCAGAAAACUCAUGGCACAACUAAGAAGACAGAGACAUAGACAUAAACAUGUCACAUAGCUUGAGUUCUAGUUGGAGGAUUAAAAGUAUUAUACAAGUACAGAGAUCUAAGAGUUCUGCAGAAGAAAGAUGAUGUUUUAUAAGAAAGUUCCUCGGAGUGGGUCAUUUGAGCUGGGAUUUGAAGGCUAAAUAGGAGUAUGUCAGGUGUGCUUCAUAUCAGCAACUAACAAAAUCAAAGAGACAGAGAAACUGCUGUAGUUGUUAAAGUGACCCCAUCUCUACAAAAACUACAAAAGUUAUCCACGGGUGGUGACACACCCCUGUGGUCCCAGCUACUUAGGGGUGCUGAGGUGGGAGGAUGACUUGAGCCCAGGAGGUUGAGUGUUCAGUGAGCUGUGAUUGUACCACUGCACUCCAGCCUGAGUGACAGAGUGAGACCCUGUGUCAAAGAAAAAAAAAAAAAAAGAAGUGACAGAAAAGUAUAAGUGAUAAGUAGGACAAACCUACCACAUAUUGAAAUAAUAGAAGACAAGCACCUUUUGCUGGAAAAGCAUCACUGCGGGAAGAAUUCCUUCCAUAUAAUUACCAAGAAGUCACUAUUCCAUCAAAUGCAACCGAGAGCCACCGAAGUACCAAGAAAUAAGCAAAUCGGCCUCUAAAAGACCACCACAGCCCACCCCACACAAUCACAUAAAAAUCCAGUUACUAAUGCUUCCACUUUCCUCUCCAGUGAGACUGCUAGAUAUGCUUAUAUCUGACUUUAAAUAUAAUCCUAAUAAAUAUGCUCACCUGAUCUUCCUGUCCACAGCAAAUGGCAAAUAACAAAUCUGGAAAUGUAAGCAGAGUAGCAGCAUUAUGAAAUAACAGCUAAUAUUCCUGCCCUGACCCCAAAGAAAGCAGAACCAAUAGUUUUAAACCUCAGCAGGAAGCAUUCAUUUAAGAAGAAACAGCUCUAUACACAGCUGAGUAGCCACUGGAGGUGUUAUUUUGCUUUGUAUCCUGAUAUUCAUCAAGCAUGUGAGUCUCCAAGAAAAGUUUAGACCUUGUUGAUUAAACAGUAAAGGAUGAUGAGAGGCUUAUUCAGAAGAUUCCCUUUCAGUAUGGUUAAUUGCAGAUUUUUACCAUGUAAAAUAACCAGAUUAAAAAGUCUUCUCAUACCAUACUCCCCUCCUUCCACCUCCAAGCUUUGGUGGGUGCACCUGUUAGGCCUUGCAGUGCCCCUGUGAGCAUGCACCCUCACCACCCUCCUCCAGCUGACCGUAAGUCACUUGAGGGCAAGUCAUUUAUAUUCAUGUAACAUUUAUAGUUUGUCCCCAGUGCUUAGUUCAAAUGCCUUGGCACAUAAUGGGUAUUCAAAAAGGGUUUAUAUAAUGGACAAAGGAAAAUGAAGUGAUUGUAACACUUUUAAAGAAGAUUUAUAUUAAAAAUGAAUGAGCUUCCCACUACACGAACACUUCUUUUGCACUCACCAAUGAAAACUAAAAUUGAUUGAUCAUUUACUAGGUCAGGCACUGUUCCAAGCGUUUCACACAUGUGAAUUUAAUCCUCACCACAGUGCUGUGAAGCAGGCACUAUUAUGUUCCCUAUACCAAGGAGGACAGUGAGGCCCAGACAAUGUGCUGUGCCCAGGCAGGCAGCCGGUAAAUGACAGAGGCUGCCUGCACACUCUGGCAGGCUGGCUCCCAAGCCCAUGCCCUAUCCACUCUGUCAUAUACCUCCAGUGUUAUAUUAUUCAUAGAAGACCAAAAAAAGAAACCUAUGCGACUCACUGCUGCUAAAAGGGGUUGAGAACGUCAGUGUAGCUUCCCCGGUUUACAAAAAAAUCUUAGUGGUUGCACAACGUUGUGAAUGUAUGUAAUGCCACUAAGUUGUACACUUAAAAUAGUUACAAUGGUCAUUUUCAUGUUAUGUAUAUUUUACCACAAUAAAACAUUUCUUUUUAAA
rnacentral:lncRNA from 1 species